rnacentral:rRNA from 1 species
UAGGGGGCAAGCGUUAUCCGGAUUUACUGGGUGUAAAGGGUGCGUAGACGGGAAAUUAAGUUAGUUGUGAAAUCCCUCGGCUUAACUGAGGAACUGCAACUAAAACUGGUUUUCUUGAGUACUGGAGAGGAAAGUGGAAUUCCUAGUGUAGCGGUGAAAUGCGUAGAUAUUAGGAGGAACACCAGUGGCGAAGGCGACUUUCUGGACAGUAACUGACGUUGAGGCACGAAAGUGUGGGGAGCAAA